rnacentral:misc_RNA from 1 species
UGGUAGUGCUUCGUUGAGUGAGAUGAUGAGUGAGUGCUCCCAGCUUGUUAAAGUUUCUUUGGAAGAGCGAUUGCAGACAGAGACGACGAUCAGGGAGCUCCAACUACAGAUUGAAGCUCUUAAUGGGAAAGUUCAGGUGGAACAGAACGUUGAGCUUAUUGCAGAUAGGAUGUUAGGUUCUCUUAGCAUGGUGAUUAAUCAAGAAGAGUUGUUGGAUUACCCUGUUAUGGGGAAGAUUGCUCAUGUUGAGAGAAAUACUUCUUUGUUAGUGGAACAGUAUAGAUGGUUUCUCUAUGAAGUUGAUCAACUUAGGCAGUGUUUGUUAGGAGGGUUUAAUGUUGGGGUUCAAGAGGAGUUUGGAUACGGGUCAGUUUUUGGUGUUGCCCGUGGCGAGUUGCUGGAGCUCAAGAAAAAAGAAGAAGAGAUGCCGGA